rnacentral:rRNA from 1 species
GGUUAAGUGACUAAGCGUACACGGUGGAUGCCUUGGCAGUCAGAGGCGAUGAAGGACGUAUUAACUUGCGAUAAGCCCAGAUUAGGUAGUAAAAACCAUUUGAGUCUGGGAUUUCCGAAUGGGGAAACCCAAUACCAUAAGGUAUUACUGUUGAGUGAAUACAUAGCUCAACAGGGCGAACCGGGGGAACUGAAACAUCUAAGUACCCCGAGGAAAAGAAAUCAACCGAGAUUCCGAAAGUAGCGGCGAGCGAAAUUGGACUAGCCCUUAAGCUUUACACGCGUUAGACGAACAGCCUGGAAAGGCCGACGAUACAGGGUGAUAGUCCCGUAGUUGACGACGUGUGUUCAGUGAAAUCGAGUAGGGCGGGACACGUGAUAUCCUGUCUGAAUAUGGGGGGACCAUCCUCCAAGGCUAAAUACUACUGACUGACCGAUAGUGAACCAGUACCGUGAGGGAAAGGCGAAAAGAACCCCUGUGAGGGGAGUGAAAUAGAACCUGAAACCGUGUACGUACAAGCAGUAGGAGCAGGCUUUGUCCUGUGACUGCGUACCUUUUGUAUAAUGGGUCAGCGACUUAUAUUCAGUGGCAAGGUUAACCAUCUAGGGGAGCCGUAGGGAAACCGAGUCUUAACUGGGCGUUCAGUCUCUGGAUAUAGACCCGAAACCAGGUGAUCUAGCCAUGGGCAGGUUGAAGGUUGAGUAACAUCAACUGGAGGACCGAACCGACUAAUGUUGAAAAAUUAGCGGAUGACUUGUGGCUAGGGGUGAAAGGCCAAUCAAACCUGGAGAUAGCUGGUUCUCCCCGAAAGCUAUUUAGGUAGCGCCUCGGACGAAUACUACUGGGGGUAGAGCACUGUUAAGGCUAGGGGGUCAUCCCGACUUACCAACCCUUUGCAAACUCCGAAUACCAGUAAGUACUAUCCGGGAGACACACGGCGGGUGCUAACGUCCGUCGUGGAGAGGGAAACAACCCAGACCGCCAGCUAAGGUCCCAAAUUACUACUAAGUGGGAAACGAUGUGGGAAGGCUCAGACAGCCAGGAUGUUGGCUUAGAAGCAGCCAUCAUUUAAAGAAAGCGUAAUAGCUCACUGGUCGAGUCGGCCUGCGCGGAAGAUGUAACGGGGCUAAGUAGUAAACCGAAGCUGCGGCAAUGCACUUUAGUGCAUUGGGUAGGGGAGCGUUCUGUAAGCGGUUGAAGGUGUGUGGUAACGCAUGCUGGACGUAUCAGAAGUGCGAAUGCUGACAUGAGUAACGAUAAAGGGGGUGAAAAACCUCCUCGCCGGAAGACCAAGGGUUCCUGUCCAACGUUAAUCGGGGCAGGGUAAGUCGACCCCUAAGGCGAGGCCGAAAGGCGUAGUCGAUGGGAAACGGGUUAAUAUUCCCGUACUUCUUACAAUUGCGAUGGGGGGACGGAGAAGGCUAGGUGGGCCUGGCGACGGUUGUCCAGGUUCAAGUGCAUGUGAAGUCAUUGAUGCCAUGCUUCCAGGAAAAGCCUCUAAGCUUCAGAUUGUAAGGAAUCGUACCCCAAACCGACACAGGUGGUCGGGUAGAGAAUACCAAGGCGCUUGAGAGAACUCGGGUGAAGGAACUAGGCAAAAUGGUACCGUAACUUCGGGAGAAGGUACGCUCUCGACGGUGAAGUCCCUCGCGGAUGGAGCUAUUGAGAGUCGCAGAUACCAGGUGGCUGCAACUGUUUAUUAAAAACACAGCACUGUGCAAAAUCGCAAGAUGACGUAUACGGUGUGACGCCUGCCCGGUGCCGGAAGGUUAAUUGAUGGGGUUAGACUUCGGUCGAAGCUCUUGAUCGAAGCCCCGGUAAACGGCGGCCGUAACUAUAACGGUCCUAAGGUAGCGAAAUUCCUUGUCGGGUAAGUUCCGACCUGCACGAAUGGCGUAAUGAUGGCCACGCUGUCUCCACCCGAGACUCAGUGAAAUUGAAAUCGCUGUGAAGAUGCAGUGUACCCGCGGCUAGACGGAAAGACCCCGUGAACCUUUACUACAGCUUGGCACUGAACAUUGACCCUACAUGUGUAGGAUAGGUGGGAGGCUUUGAAGCGCAGUCGCUAGAUUGCGUGGAGCCGUCCUUGAAAUACCACCCUUGUAGUGUUGAUGUUCUAACGUCGACCCCUAAUCGGGGUUGCGGACAGUGCCUGGUGGGUAGUUUGACUGGGGCGGUCUCCUCCCAAAGCGUAACGGAGGAGCACGAAGGUGGGCUAAUCACGGUUGGACAUCGUGAGGUUAGUGCAAUGGCAUAAGCCCGCUUGACUGCGAGAAUGACAAUUCGAGCAGGUGCGAAAGCAGGUCAUAGUGAUCCGGUGGUUCUGAAUGGAAGGGCCAUCGCUCAACGGAUAAAAGGUACUCCGGGGAUAACAGGCUGAUACCGCCCAAGAGUUCAUAUCGACGGCGGUGUUUGGCACCUCGAUGUCGGCUCAUCACAUCCUGGGGCUGAAGUCGGUCCCAAGGGUAUGGCUGUUCGCCAUUUAAAGUGGUACGCGAGCUGGGUUUAGAACGUCGUGAGACAGUUCGGUCCCUAUCUGCCGUGGGCGUUGGAGAAUUGAAAGGGGCUGCUCCUAGUACGAGAGGACCGGAGUGGACGAACCUCUGGUGUUCGGGUUGUGUCGCCAGACGCAUUGCCCGGUAGCUAAGUUCGGGAUCGAUAACCGCUGAAAGCAUCUAAGCGGGAAGCGAGCCUUGAGAUGAGUUCUCCCUGAUACUUUAAGUAUCCUAAAGGGUUGUCGUAGACUACGACGUUGAUAGGCAGGGUGUGUAAGCGUUGUGAGGCGUUGAGCUAACCUGUACUAAUUGCCCGUGAGGCUUAACCAU